CUCCCUGGGUGACGAGCGGCGGACCCGGGUGAGUAAUGUCUGGGAAACUGCCUGAUGGAGGGGGAUAACUACUGGAAACGGUAGCUAAUACCGCAUAAUGUCGCAAGACCAAAGAGGGGGACCUUCGGGCCUCUUGCCAUCAGAUGUGCCCAGAUGGGAUUAGCUAGUAGGUGGGGUAAUGGCUCACCUAGGCGACGAUCCCUAGCUGGUCUGAGAGGAUGACCAGCCACACUGGAACUGAGACACGGUCCAGACUCCUACGGGAGGCAGCAGUGGGGAAUAUUGCACAAUGGGCGCAAGCCUGAUGCAGCCAUGCCGCGUGUGUGAAGAAGGCCUUCGGGUUGUACAAAGCACUUUCAGCGAGGAGGAAGGUGGUGAGCUUAAUACGUUCAUCAAUUGACGUUACUCGCAGAAGAAGCACCGGCUAACUCCGUGCCAGCAGCCGCGGUAAUACGGAGGGUGCAAGCGUUAAUCGGAAUUACUGGGCGUAAAGCGCACGCAGGCGGUUUGUUAAGUCAGAUGUGAAAUCCCCGGGCUCAACCUGGGAACUGCAUUUGAAACUGGCAAGCUAGAGUCUCGUAGAGGGGGGUAGAAUUCCAGGUGUAGCGGUGAAAUGCGUAGAGAUCUGGAGGAAUACCGGUGGCGAAGGCGGCCCCCUGGACGAAGACUGACGCUCAGGUGCGAAAGCGUGGGGAUUAGCGCAAACAGGAUUAGAUACCCUGGUAGUCCACGCUGUAAACGAUGUCGAUUUGGAGGUUGUGCCCUUGAGGCGUGGCUUCCGGAGCUAACGCGUUAAAUCGACCGCCUGGGGAGUACGGCCGCAAGGUUAAAACUCAAAUGAAUUGACGGGGGCCCGUCACAAGCGGUGGAGCAUGUGGUUUAAUUCGAUGCAACGCGAAGAACCUUACCUACUCUUGACAUCCAGAGAACUUUCCAGAGAUGGAUUGGUGCCUUCGGGAACUCUGAGACAGGUGCUGCAUGGCUGUCGUCAGCUCGUGUUGUGAAAUGUUGGGUUAAGUCCCGCAACGAGCGCAACCCUUAUCCUUUGUUGCCAGCGGUUCGGCCGGGAACUCAAAGGAGACUGCCAGUGAUAAACUGGAGGAAGGUGGGGAUGACGUCAAGUCAUCAUGGCCCUUACGAGUAGGGCUACACACGUGCUACAAUGGCGUAUACAAAGAGAAGCGACCUCGCGAGAGCAAGCGGACCUCAUAAAGUACGUCGUAGUCCGGAUUGGGGAGUCUGCAACUCGACUCCAUGAAGUCGGAAUCGCUAGUAA
rnacentral:rRNA from 1 species